rnacentral:tRNA from 4 species
GCGGACGUAGCUCAGUUGGUAGAGCGCGAGCUUCCCAAGCUCGAGGUCGCGGGUUCGAGACCCGUCGUCCGCU